rnacentral:rRNA from 1 species
GUCCACGCCGUAAACGAUGGGUACUAGGCGUCGGGGGGAGCGACCCCCUCGGUGCCGUCGCUAACGCAGUAAGUACCCCGCCUGGGGAGUACGGCCGCAAGGCUGAAACUCAAAGGAAUUGACGGGGGCCCGCACAAGCGGUGGAGCAUGUGGUUUAAUUCGAGGCAACGCGAAGAACCUUACCUGGGCUUGACAUGCACGUGAAAGCCGGUGGAAACAUCGGGCCCUCUUCGGAGCGCGUGCACAGGUGCUGCAUGGCUGUCGU